GGGGGGGGAGGAGAGAGAUUGAGCAUUUCCCGUUAACAGCGUCUCUUAGCAUUUUAUGAAGACUUGAAAGGUAUACUUUACUGAAGUUGUUUACUUUGGUAUUGUGAAUAACACCGCCAUAACGUCGUACCCUGGUCGGAGAUAGAGCGUUUAUUUCCGAAAAUGAUUGGGCAACAUAAAACAACUUAACUGAUUCAGAGCAUGCCUAUUACAAAUUCUAUGACCAAUUGAUCUUGGCAGUCUUCAGGAAAGCGUUCCUGUCUAGAUCUAAUGUCUUCAGGAGAGUGUUCCUGUCUAGAUCUAAUGCCAGUCUUCAGGAGAGCGUUCCUGUCUAGAUCUAAUGCCAGUCUUCAGGAGAGCGUUCCUGUCUAGAUCUAAGGCCAGUCUUCAGGAGAGUGUUCCUGUCUAGAUCUAAUGUCUUCAGGAGAGUGUUCCUGUCUAGAUCUAAUGUCUUCAGGAGAGUGUUCCUGUCUAGAUCUAAUGUCUUCAGGAGAGCGUUCCUGUCUAGAUCCUCCCAGGGAGAGAGCCACAGCAAAAUCCACAAAGAUUUGUGAGUAUGAGUAAGAAUUUUCUAGAAUUCCAAUUUGAAGUAACACAGGUAAUAGCAGAAAUAAGUGGGGUAAAAAGUCAAAUGGAGAGAAAAAAGGGCAUAAGUGCCCAAAAAAUGCCACCUAAAUCCCGCACGCAGCUGGAGAUUAAAUGUCUGAAGGGGUACGGGACUGUAAAAAGUUUGGGAACCACUGUUAUAGUGCAUUAAGGCAAUCUGACAUAGAGUCAUCUUGCUUGCUAUGUCUGUGUAUUGUCUUAUGCCCCACUGUAUAAUUAUGCUCUUCUUCCUUGUAGUGCAUUGUAUGAGUUCAAACCUAGGAUAACUUUAUAUAAAGUGACCUUAUUAUGUAUUGUUUUCUGUUGUCUGUUUAAAAGAUUACAUUACCAAAACAUUUAAGGUACACCCUGGGCUCAUUAAACUUUGAAUAAAAACAUUACAAUUGGUGCUGACAAUAAGUUAAUGAUUUCUAAUUGCAGAUGCUGAGAAGGAAGUGAAAUGAGAGAAGGGAGAGAAGGCGGUGGAGUUCCUCAUAGCAGACAUAGCAGCCCAUUCAAAACACGCCCAGCUGAACUAAUCAUGGUUGUAGCUUCAUGUCCAACCUUCUUAAACAUGGCAAACUUAAAAAGUUAUUUCUCAACAAUUAAAGGUAUGGCCCAAAUAUACUGAAUCACGUACAUUGUAAUUAAAUAACUUUUCUCACCAGAUCUGACACGACCAAAUGAAAUGUGAACAAAAUGUGAACGAAACAACAACGCAGAUCUUGUAGGGAUCAUGUUCAUGUUGUCAGACACUUAUAAUAACAUUAUGAGCAUUAUGAGCCUGUCAGUGGCAAAAAAAGGGCGGUUUAGUUUGACCCCAUUUAGCCAUUUUGCGGUUGUCAUUUAUAGCGUUCUAACUCACUACGAUUUUGAACAUUUUUGUCCCUACUAAAAAUGUGGCGCCAAUAAGGUCUAAAAAACAGGGGCCAGGUUGAAAAAUGUUGAAAAAAUAAAAAGCAAUACACAUCGGCAACUUAGUUCUAAGUUAAUUAGCUGUUCAUUUUUAAUCCCUUGCGAAUACAAAUCUGACUAACAUUUAGCCUACAUCCGUGCUUAUUUGGGAAGUUUUAUUUUAUUUUGACUUGCUAUGCUACUAUGUUCUUUCUUAUAGUGGUCACCUGCACUCCAAUCUGGUCAUGCCCAUCAUACUCAUCUCACGCAUGCUCAAAUCUACAUGAAUGACAACACUUGCUGCCAUGGGUGGAGAGAUGCAUUCACAUGGAUUCAGCCACUUAAGGACUAGAUCUGGAUUGGGGAUUCCACGCCAUCUGAUAUCAUGAGAAAUCUGUAUAUAGGCCAAGAAGCAACAGUCAGAACGGAACAUGGAACAACUAACUGGUUCAAUUUUGGGAAAGGAUUACGGCUACAUAUUGUCACCAUACCACCAUUCAUGAUGAACACAUUGUGCGGAAUGCAGGCCUGGAUGAAGCAGAUGCUGGAAUUAAAGUCGGAGGAAGAAAUGUCACAGCAUCUCAAAUAUGCCAAUGAUACUACUCUCAAAUAUACUAGAAAUUAUACUACUCUGAUGGCCGAGAAUGAGGAAGACCUGAAGACAUCAUUCAGGAAGGUGAAGGAAGAAAGCACAACAGCUUUGAUGCCCAACUCCAAGAGAACCAAGAUUACGUCCACCAGCCCUGUUAAGAUGGGGCUAAUAAAUGGGGAGGAAGUGGAGACGAUCACAGAUUACAUGUUCUUUGGCUUGUAAAUGACUGCUGAGGGAAACUAACCCAGAAAUCAAGGGAUGCUUGCUUCUUGGAAGGUCGGGGUUGGCAAGCCUAAACAACAUUUUGAAGACCAGGGACAGCCCAAAGGUCUAAAAAGGAGAGCAUUGUCAAAGCUAUGGCGUUUCUAGUAGUGAUGUAUGGAUGUGAGGGCUGGACUAUCUGUAAGACCUAAAGAAUCAGCGCAUUUGAAGUUUGGACUUGGAGGAAACUGCUGAGAAUGACUUGGAUAGAAACUAAUUAAGAAUUGAGGAAAUACAACCAGAUUGCUCCUUGGAAGGAUUCACGAUGUGACGGAAGCUAAAAUAUUUUGGACAUUUCAUACGAAGUUUUGAAUCCUUGGAGAAGGAUCUCAUGAUGGGGGGACGAAACUGAAAGGAAGAGCAGAAGAGGACGGGCUGAGAUGGAUACACAGCAUGGCUGGAGCAAUGAGCAGAAGAAGACAGGCUGAGAUGGAUAGGCAGCAUGACUGGAGAAAAGAGCAGAAGAGGAAGGGCUGAGAUGGAGCAUGACUGGAGCAAUGAGCAGAAGACAGGCUGAGAUGGAUAGGCAGCAUGACUGGAGCAAUGAAGUUGAAUCUGAAGGGGCUCAAGAGUGCUUGAUAGAAGGAAGGAUCUGACGUGCUAAAGUCCACAAGGUCACAAAAAGUUGGACUCAACUAAAUGACUACUGCUAAGAUUAGAUCACUCCCACAAAGCUCUUCUAACGUUGACACUUCCUUCCCCUAUCAGAACUGGUUGUCAUUGUGAUAAGCAGUCUUUUCAUUUAAUUUUUGGUCAGCUGACAAAAAGGCUUGGUAUCGCUAUGUGUUUUUCCAUAAAGUAGAAAUAUUUCCAACAUUUGAAAUCAGUAUUUUCUGGCCAAAAUGCAGCAUUUCUUGUCAAAGCAACAUCAAGGAAAUUACUUUCCAUGAGACAUAAAGUGCUGUGUGUGAACAUAGCCAUACUGUAUGCAGUAAAGGUUUGUCCUAUCCAGUGCUGCAUAUAAAGAGUCAUUAGUUUGUUAUUUAUGCUUGUCAUUGUCAACUAAUCCUUUUUAAAGUAUAUUUCUGUAUAUUGACAAUUAUGGUAUGGGUAAAUUAUAAACCUAUUUGGAUAAAUGUUGGUAUCAUCUUCAUAUUUCUGCAAAUGUGUUUACUUGGUAAAUGUCUGAUUUCUAAACUUUAUGGAUCAAUAAUGCAAUGUGAAUUAUGUUCUUCAGUUUUACCUGACUUCAACUGAUUUGAAUAAAGUCAAUUCUUGUCA